UGCGAGUCAACGCCGCAAGGCGUGGCAUACGGCUCAGUAACACGUAGUCAACAUGCCCAAAGGACGGGGAUAACCUCGGGAAACUGAGGAUAAACCGCGAUAGGCCAAGGUUUCUGGAAUGAGCCAUGGCCGAAAUCUAUAUGGCCUUUGGAUUGGACUGCGGCCGAUCAGGCUGUUGGUGAGGUAAUGGCCCACCAAACCUGUAACCGGUACGGGCUUUGAGAGAAGGAGCCCGGAGAUGGGCACUGAGACAAGGGCCCAGGCCCUAUGGGGCGCAGCAGGCGCGAAACCUCUGCAAUAGGCGAAAGCUUGACAGGGUUACUCUGAGUGAUGCCCGCUAAGGGUAUCUUUUGGCACCUCUAAAAAUGGUGCAGAAUAAGGGGUGGGCAAGUCUGGUGUCAGCCGCCGCGGUAAUACCAGCACCCCGAGUUGUCGGGACGAUUAUUGGGCCUAAAGCAUCCGUAGCCUGUUCUGCAAGUCCUCCGUUAAAUCCACCUGCUUAACGGAUGGGCUGCGGGGGAUACUGCAGAGCUAGGAGGCGGGAGAGGCAAACGGUACUCAGUGGGUAGGGGUAAAAUCCUUUGAUCUACUGAAGACCACCAGUGGCGAAGGCGGUUUGCCAGAACGCGCUCGACGGUGAGGGAUGAAAGCUGGGGGAGCAAACCGGAUUAGAUACCCGGGUAGUCCCAGCUGUAAACGAUGCAGACUCGGUGAUGGGUUGGCUUCGAGCCAACCCAGUGCCGCAGGGAAGCCGUUAAGUCUGCCGCCUGGGGAGUACGGUCGCAAGACUGAAACUUAAAGGAAUUGGCGGGGGAGCA
rnacentral:rRNA from 1 species